UAGAAACUGGAUUAUCAAUAGCGAAGAGACUGGAGAAGCAGAAUGAGACCAAGAGCAUCUGCUGCAGCCACUAAAGGCUGAGAUAUCGCUCAGGGGAGAUCUCUGACAAUUUUUUACCAGCCCCUAUUUCCUUAUUAUCACCAGCAGCUUCCUGAGAAGUCUGGGUCCAGAAGAAAGAAAAGGU
rnacentral:lncRNA from 1 species